GCGGGUGUAGUAUUAACUGGUAAAAACCGUUAGUCUUCCAAUCUAAAAAAUGUAGGUUCAAUUCCUACCGCCCGCU
rnacentral:tRNA from 1 species